rnacentral:tRNA from 1 species
AUUUAUUAGUAUAAAAUAUAUUAUAAUUAGCUUCCAACUAAUAGAUCUUAAAAGAUAAAUUA